GAGGCAGCAGUAGGGAAUCCUCCACAAUGGGCGAAAGCCUGAUGGAGCAACGCCGCGUGAGUGAUGAAGGCCUUCGGGUUGUAAAACUCUGUCAUUCGGGACGAACCGGAGUCUGAGGAAAUGCAGACUCUCUGACGGUACCGGAGGAGGAAGCCCCGGCUAACUACGUGCCAGCAGCCGCGGUAAUACGUAGGGGGCAAGCGUUGUCCGGAUUCACUGGGCGUAAAGCGCGCGCAGGCGGUGAUGUAAGUCUGAGGUGAAAACCCGAAGCUCAACUUCGGGACUGCCUUGGAUACUGCGUCACUUGAGGAUAGGAGAGGCAAGGGGAAUUCCACGUGUAGCGGUGAAAUGCGUAGAGAUGUGGAGGAACACCUGUGGCGAAGGCGCCUUGCUGGCCUAUUUCUGACGCUGAGGCGCGAAAGCGUGGGGAGCAAACAGGAUUAGAUACCCUGGUAGUCCACGCUGUAAACGAUGAGUGCUAGGUGUAGGUGGGCUCAUACCCAUCUGUGCCGAAGCUAACGCAUUAAGCACUCCGCCUGGGGA
rnacentral:rRNA from 1 species